AAAGAAGAAAAGAAAUUUGGAAAAGGAAAAGGCGUUUAUCUCCCUCUUCCCACAAAAACCCACACGCGCCUCUCUCUCUUGGAUUUCCCUCACACUCACUCAUCUCUCUCUCCACCCCCUAACCGUCUCUCUCUUCUACCUCCCAUGUGUCCCUCCCUCUUUCCAUUACCCGUCACCCACUCAAAUAACUCACCCACUCACAUGUGAAAGAGGAGGAGACGGUUACAAAAAAAGAAAUAAAAAGAAAACGGAAAAAGGAAAUAAUGAUAGAGAAUUCACAUGGAGCAUUAAAAGACGAGCCACCACAAAACUCUCUCUAAAAAAGAAAGGGAAGAGAAAGAAAAAGGAGAAAACUUUUCAUCUCCCCACCUUCCUCAACCUCCUCCGUGUCACCCAUAACCUCACACCGACAACCCACA
rnacentral:lncRNA from 1 species